rnacentral:rRNA from 1 species
GACGAACGCUGGCGGCGUGCUUAACACAUGCAAGUCGAACGGAAAGGCCCUGCUUUUGUGGGGUGCUCGAGUGGCGAACGGGUGAGUAACACGUGAGUAACCUGCCCUUGACUUUGGGAUAACUUCAGGAAACUGGGGCUAAUACCGGAUAGGAGCUCCUGCUGCAGGUGGGGGUUGGAAAGUUUCGGCGGUUGGGGAUGGACUCGCGGCUUAUCAGCUUGUUGGUGGGGUAGUGGCUUACCAAGGCUUUGACGGGUAGCCGGCCUGAGAGGGUGACCGGCCACAUUGGGACUGAGAUACGGCCCAGACUCCUACGGGAGGCAGCAGUGGGGAAUAUUGCACAAUGGGCGGAAGCCUGAUGCAGCAACGCCGCGUGCGGGAUGACGGCCUUCGGGUUGUAAACCGCUUUCGCCUGUGACGAAGCGUGAGUGACGGUAAUGGGUAAAGAAGCACCGGCUAACUACGUG